GAGCAUUAGGACCACAUGCAAUUACAUUGUUGUGCUUUGUGAUUCUCAUAGAAGAAAAAUCUAUAGGUGGGGAGAGUGAGAGAGAGAGAGAGAGAGAGAGAGAGAGAGAGAGAGAGAGAGAGAAAACAAAGCAUAUCCUAAUUUAUGCAUGGAUGAUGGACUGGAAGAAAGGAUAAGAGUCGGCGUGACCACACAGAAGAUCAGCCUCACGAUCAAAAACAGAAAAUCCAUUUGCUAUUGAAAAGUUGAAAACCCAUAAAAUUAGAUACAAACAGAAAGGUGGCAUUUGCAUAUAGAGACGGGACAGCAGGUUGACCAUCUGUUCAACCAGAUUGAGUUAAAUAGAGACCACAAAAGAAAAUAAAGUUAAAUGUAACAAAAUUUGUUUAUGUGUAACAUGUAACAAAAUUAAAUCUCAGCUAACUUCAAAGGAUUAAAAGCAAUUACUCUUGCAGUUGGAGUCCUGCACUCGAAUUCCCCCUUUCUCAAUAUCGCUUGUAUCGGUAAAACAUUGACCAACUUCAUCAAUAUAUAUCAACUUCAAAAGUUGUACGUUUGGAACACUAAAAGGAAUUUUGAGGCUCCCUACCAUUUUCACAAAGCAAAUAUAUAGAGAAAUGUAAUUGUCAAUGAUAUGUAAAAAAUAAAAGGAGCUGUUAUUGGUACAAAAAAAAAAAAAAGAAGUCAUUUUGAGCUAUUUAUUUAUUUAUUUUUGUAAAAACAACUAAAAUACUAUUGGAC
rnacentral:lncRNA from 1 species